rnacentral:rRNA from 1 species
AUUGAACGCUGGCGGCAGGCCUAACACAUGCAAGUCGAACGGUAACAGGAAACAGCUUGCUGUUUCGCUGACGAGUGGCGGACGGGUGAGUAAUGUCUGGGAAACUGCCUGAUGGAGGGGGAUAACUUCUGGAAACGGUAGCUAAUACCGCAUAACGUCGCAAGACCAAAGAGGGGGACCCUCGGGCCUCUUGCCAUCGGAUGUGCCCAGAUGGGAUUAGCUUGUUGGUGGGGUAACGGCUCACCAAGGCGACGAUCCCUAGCUGGUCUGAGAGGAUGACCAGCCACACUGGAACUGAGACACGGUCCAGACUCCUACGGGAGGCAGCAGUGGGGAAUAUUGCACAAUGGGCGCAAGCCUGAUGCAGCCAUGCCGCGUGUAUGAAGAAGGCCUUCGGGUUGUAAAGUACUUUCAGCGGGGAGGAAGGGAGUAAAGUUAAUACCUUUGCUCAUUGACGUUACCCGCAGAAGAAGCACCGGCUAACUCCGUG